rnacentral:tRNA from 1 species
AAAGGGAGACCUAAUUCGGGUAUGGGACGAAAAAAAAGUAGUCGCUACCAAGAAUCAAUCCCAAAAGGUCGGAACGAGGUAUGUGGCUUUCAAACUAGGUUCUGGGUUCAUAAAAGACCUGAAUCAGGAACAAGGGCUAUUAGCUCAGGUGGUUAGAGCGCACCCCUGAUAAGGGUGAGGUCCCUGGUUCGAGUCCAGGAUGGCCCACCUGCACAGGUGGUAAAAACAAAGAAAAGAAGCGAGGAAUCAGCACCUUAUCUUACUUAUAUAGUAAGAGAGAAUGCUGGCUCUGAGUAAAGAGUCCAGAGGAACCUUGAAAACUGCAUAGAGCUAGGUGAAAAAGCCAAAAAAGAAGACCGCAAG